rnacentral:lncRNA from 1 species
AUGAAUUGUAUUAUAUUUAUGGUUGUGCAACGAAGGUGGGGAUUCUGAACUGACCAGUAGCUAGGCUUUGAACUGGUUCUUCUAAAAUGGCUUGAUCAUAUUCAUGGAUGAGAAAUAUGUUUUUGGGUGAACACAGGAGCAUGUCCAGGGGGCCCUGGAGACCCACCCACGGUGGCGUCAUCACACUCACCUCCUUGGCAGUUGGGUGUCUCUCUACACCGUGUCAAGUGGAGAGAACACAGGCGACCCUGUUACACUAGCCUGUAAUUUAGGUAUGAUCUGAAGCUGCCUUUCUUGGCGCCAUGGGGGGCCCAGGAUGGACAAAUCAAUUUUUAACUGUGUGUCAGCACCGACAGCUUUCUGGGAAUAUCUCACAUUAUCACUGGGAACCUUGGAGAAUUUUCUCAGCUUCAGAAGUCUCCCGAUUAUACAAAGAUUCGUCUCCUGGGCCAAACUGCGGGUGUGUAUGCUCCAGAAAAAGAGCAACUGAAGGAAGGCCGUCCUUGCAGAGUUAUGAGGAACUCGUUUCAAAGAUGACUGGUUCCCGUGGUUGUGCCAUCCUCUCUGGGGGCCGGGGGGCGAGUGUCAGAGAGGAGGGAGCCAACCUGCCCCCUGGGACUAGGACAGAUCUGAGUACUGUGCAAACAGAGAAGCUGUGCUUCUAAGCCCCAAAGGAAAGAACUUGGUCCUUCUGCUGCUUGAUGAGAAAGAUCUGAGUUUGACUUUGAAGGGAAGGCAAAAGCUCUGAAUAUACAGGGCUGAUAUUCUAAGACGUAUUAAUUCACCAGAUCCACAAAUACUCACUGAGGAUCCAUCUUGUGCCACUAGGCUCAAGAGACAAGCUCUAAUAAAGCUUAUAAAAGGUUAUUUCAAGACAGAGAUAUCAAGUGGAACUAAGCUUAUAAUGUUUAAUUUCUUUGCAGAAAUUUCACUUAUGCUUUAAAGUCUUAAAAAAAAAGACAUAGGUGGCCUGGCAGUUAAGAAUCUGGUAUUGUUAGUGCUGUGGCACAGGUUUGAUUCCUGGCCCAGGAACUUCCAGAAGCUGAGGGUGUGGCCAAAAAAAAAAAAAAAAAAAAAAAAUGACAUCGUCAACAAGGACCUACUGUAUAGCACGGGCAACUAGACCCAAUAUCUUGUAAUAAUCUAUAAUGGACAAGAGUCUGAAAAAAGAUCUGUAUCACUUUGCUGUACCUAACACCUGAACUUAACACAACAUUGUAAAUCAACUACAUACACGUCCAUUAAAAAUAAAAUAAAAAUAAAAAUAUUUUUAAAUGACAUAGGGUAUAUUUUGUAGACAGAUAUGAUAUGAAUACAGCUGCCCUGUAUGUUUCACUUCCCCUACUUUCCAGUCUGCUGAUUCUCUGGAUUUCUAAGGUAUUUCUGCUUCACUCAUUCUUUACAACCAGCUUUUGUAAUUGCUGUGCCAAUUGCAUAUUCAUAUCCCAUCUCUGAGCUACGUUAGUUUGCUUUCGUUUACUCAGUUCCCAGAGCUGAAUUUAUACAGAUGGUCCAGAAUAAGUGGUUCAGGUGGCUCAUAGAACUCCAUGCUCAGGGGAUGCUGAAUGUUUGAGGUCUGCAUGGGCCAGAAAGAUUUUCAAAGGGACAUGAUUAGUAAUCGUUAGUUUGGCAGAAAUUUUUAAAAUGUAUUCAGAAUUUAAAGUAAGACUUUGUCAUAUGCUAAGGACUGCACUGCAGGGAGGAAAGAAGGGACUCACUAGCCAGUAACUGGGUUAACAUCACGUCUAGUUUCCUCACACGUCAAAAUGAGAGGCUUUCCUAAAGAGACAGAUCAAAAAAAAGAAAAAAAAAAAGUUGCCAAGAUAUAUGUCACCAAAAUACGUAAAGAACUCACAGAACUCAAUACCAGAAAAAAAAAAAAACCCUCAAAAACCUGAUUAAAAAUGGGCAAAGCACCUGAAGAGGCUUUUUUCUAAAGAAGACAUACAGUGGCCAACAGGCACAUGAAAAAGUGCUCACAAUCAUUGAUCAUCAGGGAACUGCAAAUCAAAACCAUAGUGAGAAAUCACCUCACACCUGACAGAAUGAUUGUAAUCAAAAAGACAAUAAAUACCAAUUUUUAGCUAGGGUGUAGAGAAAAGGAAACCCUAUUAUAUUGUUUGUGGGAGUAGAAAUUGGUGCAGCCAUAAUGAAAAAUAGUAUGGAGUUUCCUCAAAAAUUAAAAAUAGAGCUACCAUGUGAUCUAGCAAUUCCACUCCUGGGUAUAUAGCCAAAGAAAAUGAAAACACCAAUUUAAAAAGAUACAUGUACCUCUAUGUUCAUAGCAGCACUAUUUACAAUAGCUAAGAUGUGGAAGCAACCUAAAUGUCCAUUGACAGAGGAAUGGAUAAAGAAGAUGUGGUACAUAUACACUAUGGAAUACUACUCAGCCAUUAAAAAGAAUGAAAUGACACCAUUUGCAGCCACUCAGAUGGACUUAGGUGGCAAUAUGCUUAGUGAAAUAAGUCAGGGAAAACCAAAUUGUGUACAUUUUCAAUCAAAUAUGGAAAAUCUAAAAAAUUAAGGUAAAUGAACCAAUAUAACAAAACAGAGCCAACUAACAGAUACAGUGAACAAACUUGUGGUUACCAGUAAAGAGAAGGGUGGAGGGAGGGCAAAACAGGGGAAGGAGAUUAAGAGGUAUGAACUUCUAGGUAUAAAAUAAAAGGAUGUAAUGUACAGCACAGGGAAUAGAGCCAAUAUUUUAUAACUUUAUAUGGAGUACAAUCUAUAAAAAUAUCAAACUUCUGUGUCUUACACCUCAGACUAACAUAAUAUUACCAAUCAACUAUACUUCCAUAGAAAAAUGGGAGGCUUUCCUUUAGGUACAGAUACAACCUAAGACCCAUUCUGAGAAUUGCCUUGUCACCCACAGGAUAGAAAUUUCUUCAUCAUGCCAUGUAGAAUAGGAAAAACCCUGUGAUACUCAGCAUGCCAGGAGAAAGUGGACUUAAAAACCUGUAAGCAGAUCUCAAAAAGCUUAUUUGUGUGGGUAUUGGUAGUACUCAUUUGAAAGAGAUUUGUUUAUUUAUGUAUUUAUUUAUUUAUUUUUACAGUCACACGUGUGGCAUAUGGAUGUUCCCAGGCUAGGAGUCAUAUGGGAGCUGCAAGCCUAAGCCACAGCCAUAGCCACACCACAUCUGAGCCACAUCUGUGAAUUAUGCUGCAACUUCCAGCAUCACCAGAUCCUAAACCCACUGAGCGAGGCCAGGGAUUGAACCUGCAUCCUAAUGGACAUUAUAUUGGAUUCUUAACCCCCUGAGCCACAACAGGAACUCCUGAAAGAGAUUUUUUAACAAAUAGCAAAGCUAUGUUGAGAUUUCAACUUUAUCAUAUGCAGUGGUUAUUGUGAAGGGCUUAAUUCCUUCAAUGCUAGGCUUUUGGGGGAAAAAUUAUCUAGUUGUGCUUGAUAUUUGGUAUAACCCCCCAAUCAGUCUCCUGCCCUACAAUUUUCUGUGCAUGACCUUUUCAUGCGGCCCUUUGAUAAAAAGAUUUUUGAGUCUUCCUCCAGAAACAAAGUCCACAUCUGCGCUGGACAGAACACAAGGAGCCAGGAAUCAUCCCACAUCAGCUAGCAGAGCAAGCUUGGUAGGGCCAAGACUCAAGGAGACUGGAACAGUCAUAGGAGCACAUGCAUCUCUACUCUGUGUGUUGUGUUCCAAGGUGAAGCAAAGAGGCCUGGAGCCACAGGAUGGGAGAAGGACCUCAACUUCUGGACUUAGGCUUCCUCAGAUGCAGGAUUAGGGAAGCACCAGCCUCCCGCUGCCUUGUGAUCAAGGUACACAUGGACAGAAAGAUGGGAAGGCAGCAUCUUGGGUUAGCCCGGUCUUGAGAGUUCAGGGUUUGUGUUUGGAGAAGGUCUAAUGGUCAGGGGCCUGGUGUUCAGGACUUGUAAGGACAGCUAUGCUAUGUGACCAGAUAGCAGCAGGAUUUGCCACAUAGGCAGGUUACACCUGCUCUCUACUGGCGUGCUUGACAGUCAAGGGUCCAAGCCUGUCAUUGAUAAGAAUGGGUUGCCUUCAAUGCAGAGCCAUAGCUGGAGCCUGUGAACUUCGUAGACAGCCAAGUCCCUCUCUGAGAGGCCAGCUGCAGCUGCAGGGGUCAGUUUGGACAGCCCUUAGUUUUUGAGUAAAAAAAGGUUUGGUCUGCAACAUAGGGAAAAGCAAUGUGCAGUGAAUGAGAAUUUUCCAUGUGUUCAGUACCUCUUGCUCCAUCUGCAUUUGGCAGAAAACCCUUGGGAUAUGACUAAAGUUUUGUCAUGGAGGGAGGAGACGUGGUAUUUGACACUUGCUGGUGUGGAGCUAAAGACACAGAGCUUGUUCCUUCUCCUUCAUGUCAGGUUGUGGAACCAGAUAAUGGUCAUGACAAAGCUUUAUUUUUUUUUGGUCUUUUUAGGGCUGAACCUGUGACAUAUGGAAGUUCCCGGGCUAGGGGU